rnacentral:rRNA from 1 species
AUGGCGGCCACGGGCGGCGGAGGCGGUGGCGGUGGCCGCCACUGGAUCGAGGCGGAGACGCCCGACUUCCGAGCCAGGAUGCGCCGUAUCUACCUACCUACCAAAUUGGCCACAUAUUUUCAGCCCAAGUAUUCCCCCAAUUCCCUGGAGGCCCAAACACUUAUUGCCAGAUUGGAGGAGGAUGCCUUCAGGGGGACAAACAGUAAGGUAGAGUACGUGAAAAAAAUAUCUGACAAGGUGGUCACUAUGUUGAGAAAUAAAACUGACGAGCUACAACGACGAGCGCAGUUACAAAGCCAAUUGCAACAGGCUAUUGAAGCACAGGCUUUACAUGGAGGCAGUUCUUCUGUAAUGCCAGAGGCAGUGAUGGUGGCUAGUCGAAGGCCAACUUCUCAGUCUAUGGCACCUCAAACUUCAGGCCUAGUGCCAAACCAGAACAUGCUUCACCCUUGCACGUCAAACAUGCAGAUUGAGGUUGAGAAAAAGCAUCAUGGUCAGGAUCAUUAUCCAAACUUUCAACCCAUGGGAAUCACUAGAGCAGGGCCGGGUGUCCAGUCUGGUGCAUGGCCGAUGCAGUCAGGAGCCAGUCAGAGUGAGAGCCAGUACAUGGCCAGGCAACCGCAGGCUACAAAUUUUGUUGGCUACAGCCUAGCAAGUGGGUCAAAGCCAGUUAUUCGGCCAAAUUCUCAGCACAAUCACCCACUUGGCCAAAAUGAUAGUGCUAUUGGAGUGCGACAGCCGCAGAUUACAAGGUUGAAUGAAAUUUUGAGAGCCAACCAACAAGAGAUGGGCACACAAAGGUACCAAAUGCUUGGAGCACAACAAGCUGAUGUCUCCAAGAUGCAGCCUGGUCAGCUUAGAAUACGGAAUAAUCAGGAGGAUGCUAGGCAAACAGGUUUCUUACAUCCACCAUUCAAGGUAUCUGAGCCCAUGACUCCACCUGUACAACAGAUUCCAGGUGCUCAGCAAUCUCAGAUUCCAGCUAUGAUGGGAAGUACUAGAGAAUAUGAUCUCGAGGAAAUAUUUUGUAAGAUCAAGUCUUGGAAAGAUGCUUAUUUUCCUCAGUUUUUGGAACUGGAUCGUAGAGUCGUUCUUCCAACACUAACAGAGGAACAAUUCUCAUCACUACCUGAAGCAAAAGCUAAUCUAUACAUACGCAAAGCAGAUUUCAAGAAAUCAAUCAGAAGGAUACUGAAUUUAAUGUCGUUGCAGAAGAGUGAUGUGCACGAGGGUUUGAAGGUGGACCUCCCCAAGUACGAAAAACUCAUACAUCAUUUCCUGGCUCUUCUGGAGAGGAAUAAAACUUGCCAUGCAAAGAUGAAUACAGGAUAUCAGUUGCAGAAUUGUGAUGAGCAGCGUAAAGCCAUCAAUCUUACUGGCAAUGCAUCCCCAAUCACUGGUGGUACAAGUAGAGAGCAAAAGCAACCUGCAGAUGCAAGGAUUUUGCAGCCGAGGCAAACAACUAUGGCUAGAACAACAACACCUCAUCAACAGAGCAAUGAUAACUACUUGCAAGGAAUAGAAAGUGCUUCUUUCUCUUCACCAGGAUCAUUGCAGUCUUCAUUGCAGUCUUGGUCUUCCAGUAUGCUCGAGUCCUUGAGGCCCUCACCACUUGCAAAUCCAGUGGUAGCACCAGCGUCACCCUGUGCUCCAGUGCCCAUAAUCUCAAUGGACGUUGACAGCAUAACUGCCUUCUUGAUGGAUGACAAUGCAGCAGCAGCACCGCCACCAAAAGCAAAUGGUUCUAACCAAGUCACUCGUACUGAACCGAUAGUACCAGCCUCACCACUUCAGGCAGACAUAGCAGCUGGUCAUGGAGAGGUUCAGGCGCGAGGUGGAGACGGAACACCGGUGACUAAGAGGCCCAUUGACCGGCUAAUGGAUGCGAUAAGAUCUUCAUCGCCUGGAGCGCUACACAGCUCUAUUAAUUCAAUUCGGUCUUUCCUCAGCAUGAGCGACAUUGUACCACAUGGGAAAAUCGGCACAAUGUUGGAUUGCAACUCCCUGCAGCAGCAGGGUGGAUGUAAUACUGUGAACAAAAUGAAGCGAGUUUUCAAUCAUACAGGGUCGCGAUCUCAAUCACUACCGCUGGGAAGCAUGGAUGGCAGUUGCAUGUCAUUUGAGUGUGGGGCCUCAGACUCUGGAUCAAGCAGUGAGGUAAACUUUAAGAGGCAGAAAAUACAGAAUGCUAGUAAUGAGGCUCUGUUGGAAGAAAUCAAAUCUAUCAACAGCACACUGAUCGAUACAGUGCUCAGCAUAUCUGAUUACUGUGGUAUGGAUGGGAUCCCCCGCUGUGAUGGCGGGACAACAAUCAAACUGUCCUACAGUGCCGUGUCGCUUUCGCCGACCUUUAAAUCUGUCUUUGCCACAUCUGAAGCGUGUCUUGUCUUGCCGGUUAAGCUAUUCGUCCCAGCAGAUUAUCCCAGGAGCUCUCCGGUGCUCAGAAAUGACGAAGGAGAUGAGGUGCCAAGGAAGAAUUCCAGCGCCAUCUCUGCCUUGGCGGAUGUGGUGUUCCGGCACGCCCUCGACGCUCUCCCGGAACCCCGGUCGAUCGAGGCGAUGGCCAGGGCGUGGGACGCCUCCGUGCGGAAGGUCGUGACGCGGUUUGCGCGUCAGCAAGGCGGAGGGACGAUCAGCUCGAUGUUUGGUGGGUGGAAGAGAUGUGCGGCCGCAUGA